ensembl:lncRNA
CCCAGGAUUCCACCCCCCCGGGAGUGUACCCCUGAGGAUGAAACAGAUAAACACACACGUCCCCAGCAGGGCGGUGCACCCCAGCCAGGGAGCCUUCAGCCAAGGGGUGGACGACAGAGCCGGGCACACGCGGGCGGUGGGGUCGUGUUCGGCUCCGGCAGGAAGGAGGGCCCGCAGGGUGCCCCUGGAGGACCUGCGAGUGGCGGAAGCUCAGCUUUCCGGGGCCACCGGAGAGGCUGCUGGCUGGAGCUUGGCGCCCUGCAGGAGCCGUGUCCCCUCCUGGGCCGUGUUGGAGCAUCUGGGUUUAGCGAAGGCCCCUGGGUGUCCCUGGGACUGGGAAGAUCCAGAAGCUUCCAUGGAGCCACAGGCAGGCAGUCUCUGGUGCUGGGCCAGGCCCCUACUCUCUGCGCCUCGGUGUCCCCGCCCCUGGCCCUGGCUGACUCCUCCCGGGACACCUUUCACCUAUGUGGAUGCACACAGCCUCCAGGGACAGCCCUGUCUGCACCGGCCCCCCACCCCGAGCCCCACGGAGUCUGGGGGUGCAGGGUGCUGAAGCAGAGCGGCACCUGUCACCUCCGGCUGCCACGCCCCCGCCAACCCUCACGACCUCCGCCCCCAGAGCCUGCACAUCAGGCGUUCCCUUGGGACCUGGGUCUGGCAGGUUCUGCCUCGCUCCAGCCCCACCCUGGGCCUCCCACUGCCACUCAGGCCCUGCUGCUGUUUAGGGGAGAGAACAGAGUCGUCCCCAAGGGACAGGAAGCACAUGGUGGGGGGCGCCAGGUGGGAAGUCUCAGAGUCAGAAGCAUAGCCCCCCGUCCAACCCCAGACCGGCCAGCCCUGGAGCCCCGUCAGCCAGCCUCGCCCACGUGGCCUUGCACCCACCCCCUCGCGGGUCCACGCAGGGCCCCUUCGUGGAAGCUGCGUCUCCGUGGGCAGGAUGUGGAGGGUUGGCUCCCCCAAGGAGGAGCCCCCACCCUCACAGGAGAGGACCCACCAGUCACAAAGGCUGCACCCGCCCAGGGAAGGUGCCGGAGCCCCCUUUGGGCCGGAAGCUCUGGCCACUCCAAGCGCUGCCUCUGUGACCGAGUGUGGCCAGGCCGGGACGCAGCACUUGCCCCCGGCAGGGCCUCCCUCUGUUGCUCCCCAGCCCCCUCCCCAGGCCGGGCAGGCUCUUGGGGGAGGGUUGAUGGGCCGGCCAGGCUGAGGAUAGCCUGCAGGCGCACGCCACCGGGACCCCAGGGUGCAGGCAGCGUCGCUCAGCGAGGCAGGAUGGGAGCUCCUACGUCCACCAGAAGCAGGGGAGAUGGCUGCUGUCCCCUGGCGGAGCCCCCAGCUCCCGGCCGAUGGCUGCCGGGGAGGCCCAGUCCUGGUGUGGCCUUGGCAGCAGCCCUGAGGGCAUCCCUAGACAGCUGGUCUCCCGCCCAACUCCUCCUCCGACCCCGAGGGUUGGGGAACACGGUGCCCUCUGCAGCUGUUCCUGGCUGUGACAUUCCUUGGCCAGGGACUGGAGAGGGCACGGCCUCUGUCCAAAGCCAAAGACGGUCCUGGGGGCCCUGUGCGGCCUCUGUGGACGCGCCUGCUCUCAAGGGAACUCUGUCACUGCAGUGCGAC